rnacentral:tRNA from 1 species
GGUGUUGUGGCUUAUCGGUAGAGCACUUGCCUGGCAUGUGCAGGGCCCUGGGUUCAAUCCUCAGCACCA